CCUACGGGUGGCAGCAGUGGGGAAUAUUGGACAAAGGGCAACCCUGAUCCAGCCAUGCCGCGUGUGUGAAGAAGGCCCUCGGGUUGUAAAGCACUUUCAGUGAGGAAGAACGCCUGGUGGUUAAUACCCAUCAGGAAAGACAUCACUCACAGAAGAAGCACCGGCUAACUCCGUGCCAGCAGCCGCGGUAAUACGGAGGGUGCGAGCGUUAAUCGGAAUUACUGGGCGUAAAGCGCGCGUAGGUGGCUUGAUAAGCCGGUUGUGAAAGCCCCGGGCUCAACCUGGGAACGGCAUCCGGAACUGUCAAGCUAGAGUGCAGGAGAGGAAGGUAGAAUUCCCGGUGUAGCGGUGAAAUGCGUAGAGAUCGGGAGGAAUACCAGUGGCGAAGGCGGCCUUCUGGACUGACACUGACACUGAGGUGCGAAAGCGUGGGUAGCAAACAGGAUUAGAUACCCUUGUAGUC
rnacentral:rRNA from 1 species